UUGAAGGGGAGAGAAGAGAUUUGGUAGAAAUAGUGGACUUGAAUUAGAAUCUGUUUCACUAAUUUUCACCUGUGUGACUUUGGGCAUAUUCCAAAUCACAGAAUGUCAAAGUUAGAAGAGAUCUCAGAGACCAUCUAAUGUGACCUUUAUUGACCCAGAAUCUCCUACAAUAUACCCAUCAAUCCAAUUUCUUUCUUAUGAAGACUUCCAGGGAUGAACAAGGGCUGGAGAAAAGACCUCUUAGAGCAUGGUGUUCACAUUGAGCUAUUUUGUGCAACUAAAUCGGACCUCCUCUGGGUCAUUUUUGGCAGUUUGGCAGGAUGAUGAAGAGAUUUUGACAAGAUGGAAGAAAAAGAUUCUGAGAAAAAUGGGGGAGUGAAAGUUCAUGUUCAGGGUCAAAUGGUUGGGACCUGGAAAAUCCACAUGGACUAAUAUCAAAAUAGGAUCCACUGCACCUAAGACUGGUGACUGAAUUCCUCAUACUGAUAUUCAAGGUGAAGACAAAUUGUUGCUCCAAUCUUCCCUUCCAGCUUUAUCUCAUAUUUUUCCCCUUCAU